rnacentral:rRNA from 1 species
AUCAAAAUAAGGUCGCGCCACUUUGACCGUUACCUAACACAGAAGAAGCACCGGCUAACUACCGUGGCCAGCAGCCGCGGUAAUACGUAGGUGUGCAGAGCGUUGAUUCGGAAUAUUGGGCGUAAAAGCGCAUGCAAGCUGGUUUGUUAAGUCUGAUGUGAAAGCCCCGGGGCUCAACCUCGGAGGGUCAUUUGAAACUGGCAAACUUGAGUGCAGAAGAGGAGAGGUAGAAUUUCACGUGUAGCGGUGAAAUGCGUAGAGAUGUGAAGGAACACCAGUGGCGAAGGCGACUCUCCUGGUCAGAUACUGACACUCAGGAUGCGAAAGCGUGGGGAGCGAAACAGGAUUAGAUACCCUGGUAGUCCACGCCCGUAAACGAUGAGUACUAAGAGGUAGGGGGUUUCCGCCCGUGGCUUUCUGCAGCUAACGGCAUAAAUAGAUCGCCUGGGGGAGUCCGUUGCCAGAUUAAAAAUCAAAUGAAAUGACGGGGGGCCGCCCCAACGGGGGGGCCAGGGGGUUAAUUUGGAAGAAACGGAAGAACCCUACCCAGUUCUGGCCUUCAUAGAACAAUCCUGAGGAUGAGAGGUGCCUUUGGGAGGUAGAAGACCGGUGGGGCCAGGGUGUUGUUAAGUUGGGGUGGGAAAAUGUGGGGUUAAUUCCGCAAAGAAGGCCACCCUUUUCUUUUUUUUCCCAGCAGUCAUUUGGGCAAUUCCAGGGGGAUUCCGGGGGCUAACCCGGAGGAAGGGGGGGAGGAGGCCAAUUCUCCAUGCCCCUUUGGCGUAGGGUUCCCCCCUUGUUCCAAUGGCGCAUCCAAAGGCCAGCAAACUAGGAGUAUAAACCAAUUCCCAAAAAGUGUUUUCUAUUCGGGAUUCGAUUUGCAAAUUGGAUUCCGAAAGUGGGUUCGUAGUGUUAUCGUAUUCGCAAUGCCACUGAAUUACGUUCCGGGCCUUGUACACACACGGCCGUCACACCCCGAGAAUUGGAACACAAAGAGAGUGUAGUGUAGUAAACUUUAUGGAACGAGCCGCACGCACGGU